UAAGUAUACAAAGAGAAGUGGUUUUAGGCGGAUCUUUUCCCAAAAAGGAUCAGGGUUUAAACACAAGAUCUGAGCGUUUGAAAUCAAUAAUCGAGUGAACAAAUUUUGAUUUUACUAUAUCGCUCUCUUUCUCUUCUUUCUUUCUCUCUCCCCCUCUCUACAUCUCAUUUUUCAAAAUACAGAGAUAUUAUGGCCGACAAGAAAGAAAGAGCUUGUGGUGAUGGAAUGAGUAGCUGGAAGAGAAAACAAAAAAUGGUGGUGGUGGUGGUCGGUGCUGCGGUUGGGAGAGCGUUUGCCAAAGAAAAUAUAAGACGACGGCAGAGGCUCCGGGUCUAUUUCCAGCGAGCAGUAGAGAUGAAGAACAAUUAGUCAGAGGUUACGGUGAUUGUUGAUGCAGCAUCGAGUAGAAAGAAUAGUGGUUGCAGUGAGUGGUGUUGCAACCGUUAGUGAAGAAGGAGCAGCUGGGAGCAAGUUGACGAUACCGAUACAGAGAACGAAGAGAGCUGAGAUCCUACCGUCGGUGGUGUUACAGAGGUUGAAGUUGGACUAGGUUUAGUUGGCAGAGGAGCUAAUGGUAGUAUGGCUGAUUUGUAGUGAUUACGGCUACACUCCUUCCAGCAGCUUCGAAUCAUCUUCAACUGGUGCGUAUAAGGUAUCUAUUUUAGAAGUCUACUGUGAUGGAAUUGAUGGCAAAGUAACAUGCUCAAAUACCUGCUGGAAGAUUGGAAAAGCUGCUUGGGAGAUGAUAAAGAAGACUGCUACAUAUCAAGACAGCGUCAAGCUUUAGAAGGAUGAAUUUGGAAAAAAUAAAAAAGCUUACUUAAAGAUAUUGUGCAACAGCUAAAAGUAUCGAAAUUUUACAACUUUGCUUAGCCGUCAUUGCAGUGUUUAAAGGAGGCACCAAAAGACUGCUUUUGAAGAGAAAUCUACUCUGGCUAAGGACGAGGCUGAACUUUCAAUAUUGGAAAAAAAAAAAGAAAGUGCAGUUGAAGAUGUGCAAUAGCUAAAAGUUACCAGAACAUUUUUUUGGAAUUUUUUCGUGGCCUUCGAGUUCUUGGGAAAUUGAUUCGCAACAGUAAAUCCAAGAAGGACAUGUUUGUUGUCAUCUCCGAUGAAGUCUUUGAUUGCCUGCAACCUCCCCCAGGUAACACUAUCCUUUAUAAUUUCCUUUCAUUGCAUUUUGCAUUUAUCUUGUUAUUAAAGGAAGGAAAAUAUUGCUGCCCAGGAUGGUUGAAAUUGAUGCUAGAAAUUGAAAUUUUGACAUUAAAUUUCUGCACUUUAUGCCUCAUUUGACGAGUGAUAACAUUUUUAUCAAGUCCAAAGAUAUAUUUCAUGUUAGAGUUUAAUUUAACGUUAUUUAGACCACCUCAAUUAUACUGGAACUUUAAUCAUAGGUUGAAAGCAAUCUUUUUUCUCAUUCAGGAUUUUGAUGGUUCCUUUGAAAGAAGUGGUUAGUUUAGGAAUUUCAUCUAUUAGCAACAAUCUAGAAGAAUUGAUUUUCAAUAAUUGGAAUAUGUAAAAUAAAUCUGUUAUUUUGGUUUCUAAUUGAAAUCAAUGGCUGUGUUCUUAAUCCAAUAUAAGAUAAAAGGUAUCUACUGCAUUUAUGUGCAUUCAAUAUAAUAGUUUUUUGUGAUUUCUACAAAAUUUUCUAUUACUGGACAUGCUUUGGGCCUAAGAUAAAGAAGAUUUUUUAUAGCUGCAAGAGCAAUCUGAAUUGUUCUGCAAUUGCAAGUAAAAUUUUUAGUCUCUAUAAUUCUUUGUUGUGGUCCCCGAUGGAGUCUUUGAUUAUGCCAACAAUGUCCUCCAGGUAAUACUAUCCUUUAUAAUUUCCUUUUGUUGCCAUUUGCAUUUAUGUUGUUAUUAGAGGAAUGAAAAGAUUGCUGCCUAGGAUGGUGGAUAUUGACUUUAUAUAAUGAAAUUGACAUUAAAUUUCUACAUUUUAUGCCUCAUUUAACAUGAUUGAUAACAUUUUUAUCCAGUUCAAUAAUAUAUUUAAUGUUAUAUAGACCUUUCCAGAGGUGUACGCAUAUAUUAAGUUGAGUUGUUUCAUAAAAUGCUGGAGUAAAACAGCAUCACACUUAAAAAAAGCAGAGAAGUACAAAGAAGUAAAUGUUAUGCCCUUGAUGUUAUGAACUUGGAUGUAGAUGCUCGAUUGCGGGUUAGAAGUACGGAGAAGAAGGCAGAGAUAAUAAGAGAUGUAUUCAUCAUAAUUUUGUGUUAUUGCUGAAAGUUUUAAAUUGCUCUCUUUUGCCUUUUGUGUUGUUCCUCGCUCCCCCUCUGAUUUGCACUUCUAUGUAUUCAAUUUUAAAGAUUUUAUUUUCAUCUUAGAUGAUAACAACUUGAGCUGUUCACUA